AAAUGACUGAGCAUUUGGGCGGCAACCAACCGACCCACCUUCACCGCCGGCGCGCCGCCGCGGCCGUAUCCGCCAGUCGCGGGGGAGCGCUAGCUGGAUCGGAAUCCGAGGGGAUCUUGUCCUGGUAACUGCUGAGGCCAAUCUGUCAUAAGCUGAAUCAACUAGAGCUAUCUCAGAUAUUUGUAUUCAUGACGUCUACAUUUCCUUCUGUUUCUAGAGUUAAGUCAUUUCAUGGAGAUAUCCUUGUGGUGCGCUGGUGCUUCUAGUCAGCUUGAGGAUUUAAGUUCUAAUGACUUUCUUUUCGUAUCUACUGAUGUUUCUAUCGCAGCUUAUGCAUUCUGUCAUUCUCACAAAAGCAUGCAGUUAAUUCCACACCUGAUGUUAAAGAGUUGCAUGGGGAGUGGAAGGAGUGGCGCCCUACUGAGUGUUCAGUGUUGGAGGAUGCGACUCAGGUCCAAAAAACGGGUUUAGUUCCUUCCUGACAACAACCACUGAGUUGAAAAUAUCACUCAGUCAUUAUUACCUCAUUCAGAAGAAGUGUCAUCCUUUAGCAAUAUAUGACAUCACUCUGUCGUUCUUCUUGAAGUUCUGGUAUAUCAAAUGUGCUCCAUAGACUCUGGUGGAAAAGUGGAAACUGACAGUGAAACGCCACAAAGUUUCCUUAGUUCUUUACCUGUAGAUGAAGCAUGAUGCAUCUGUUAGUGGGAGUGUCUAAAGUUUUUCUGUCUCUUCAGUGAUCGGGUUAGUGUUGACUCCCAAUGAAUCUGUAAUUUGUGAGGCCCAUCCAUGCAAACGGAGUUUGUUAUGUUUGCUGUUCUUGAGCUAAACCAGUGGGGUAUGCAAUCGAAGUACGUGGCAUACCUUCAGGAUGUAUACAUGAUAGUAUAAGGCCCGGUCCAAAAUGGGUUGCUUUCCAGUUUUCAGAUAUGUUUCUUGCAGCAGGUUUUGUUGCCUUUUGGAAUGUGAACAUUGGUGACCUAGCCAUGUCAUUAGUGCUCUUCAACAAUGCAGAACAGACCUGGAGAUGCCAUUGAAAGGCUCUGUUGCAGAUGGAAAUGAGCAUGUCAAAAAUUUUGAAGGCUCUGUUGCAGAUGGAAAUAAGCAUGCCAAAAAUUUUGAAGGCUCUGUUGCAGAUGGAAAUAAGCAUGUCAAAAUUUUCAUACCAGGUUACUCAUGCAUACAUCUUUUCCUGACGAAAGCGAUAUUAGUGUUGGUUUUAUGGACAGAAGGCUUCCAUUUCAGGAGGAUUCUGCUUUUUGUCGGAGAUUCUGUUGUUUGCUCCUGCCUGGGAUAUCUGUACCUCUUUGUGACCUUCCUGUGGUCCUUACGCCAACUUCUAUUUCAUCCUUUUCAUGCAUGGUGAUGCUAUCAUUUUUUGGCAACGGGUUUUGCUUGUGGUAGCACAAGCAAUGCUCUGAACUUAUCAUCAGUGAUCAGGUCUUGAAAAAAAGUGGAAAACCUGUCAAAGAGAAGUUUUGGAUAGAGCUUUGGUGCAUGAAUGUCCUGCACUAGGCCACCAGCAGACAUGCUCUGAUCAGUCUGCUGGGAUAACAUUAAAGCCUCUUAUCGUACGAGAAAUCCUCAAAAUUUCAGUUUAUGA